AACGAACGCUGGCGGCAUGCCUAACACAUGCAAGUCGAACGAGACCUUCGGGUCUAGUGGCGCACGGGUGCGUAACGCGUGGGAACCUGCCCUUAGGUUCGGAAUAACUCCCCGAAAGGGGUGCUAAUACCGGAUAAUGUCUUCGGACCAAAGAUUUAUCGCCUUUGGAUGGGCCCGCGUUGGAUUGGCUAGUUGGUAGGGUAAAAGCCUACCAAGGCGACGAUCCAUAGCUGGUCUGAGAGGAUGAUCAGCCACACUGGGACUGAGACACGGCCCAGACUCCUACGGGAGGCAGCGGUGGAGAAUAUUGGACAAGGGGGGAAAGCCUGAUCCAGCAAUGCCGCGUGAGUGAUGAAGGCCUUAGGGUUGUAAAGCUCUUUUACCCGGGAUGAUAAUGACAGUACCGGGAGAAUAAGCUCCGGCUAACUCCGUG
rnacentral:rRNA from 1 species